CUGCAAAAGAAAGAGGGACUCCAGCAUAAAGAGUGAACUGAUUCACUAGCAAGCUUUGUUUUCAGAACUGAGUGUACUUCAGCCAUAGGUGUUUGUGAGAGAAUGAGCUAUUUUCCCCUAGGGCUGUGGGGGUGAAUUCUAGAAGAGAAAAAACUACUCUAAACAACUCCUGAAGAGCAAGGAGGAAAACCGCCACAAUUUUGGGAAGAGUAGGACAGCAGAGGAUUACCUCAGGAAAGUGCACAAGAAACCUGACUAUGGCUAACAAAAUGUACUGAGUCUGAUGGCAUUUUUAAAAAUAUGACUGUUUCUCCCAAGUGACCUCAACUUCAGCAAUAAGUGCUCCCUGGCUAGAAGGCCCUGGGUGGUAGAUGUAUCAAAAGCAAGACGUGGAUUCAAAAAGAAGACAAGUGUAGCAAAAAGUGGUAUUUUACAGUAAUU